rnacentral:rRNA from 1 species
GAUGAACGCUAGCGGCAGGCUUAAUACAUGCAAGUCGUGGGGCAGCACAAAUAGCAAUAUUGGGUGGCGACCGGCAAACGGGUGCGGAACACGUACGCAACCUUCCUUCGAGCGGGGAAUAGCCCAGAGAAAUUUGGAUUAAUACCCUAUAAUAUUUUGAGAUGGCAUCAUCUUAUUAUUAAAGCUCCGGCACUUGAAGAUGGGCGUGCGCCUGAUUAGGAGUUGGCGGGGUAAUGCCCACCAAGCCUUCGAUCAGUAACUGGUGUGAGAGCAUGACCAGUCACACGGGC